rnacentral:rRNA from 1 species
GACGAACGCUGGCGGCGUGCUUAACACAUGCAAGUCGAACGGAAAGGCCCUGCUUUUGUGGGGUGCUCGAGUGGCGAACGGGUGAGUAACACGUGAGUAACCUGCCCUUGACUUUGGGAUAACUUCAGGAAACUGGGGCUAAUACCGGAUAGGAGCUCCUGCUGCAUGGUGGGGGUUGGAAAGUUUCGGCGGUUGGGGAUGGACUCGCGGCUUAUCCGCUUGUUGGUGGGGUAGUGGCUUACCAAGGCUUUGACGGGUAGCCGGCCUGAGAGGGUGACCGGCCACAUGGGGACUGAGAUACGGCCCAGACUCCUACGGGAGGCAGCAGUGGGGAAUAUUGCACAAUGGGCGGAAGCCUGAUGCAGCAACGCCGCGUGCGGGAUGACGGCCUUCGGGUUGUAAACCGCUUUCGCCUGUGACGAAGCGUGAGUGACGGUAAUGGGUAAAGAAGCACCGGCUAACUACGUG